rnacentral:rRNA from 1 species
UGGGGAAUAUUGCACAAUGGGGGAAACCCUGAUGCAGCGACGCCGCGUGGGGGAUGACGGCCUUCGGGUUGUAAACCUCUUUCAGUAGGGAAGAAGCCUUCGGGUGACGGUACCUGCAGAAGAAGUACCGGCUAACUACGUGCCAGCAGCCGCGGUAAUACGUAGGGUACAAGCGUUGUCCGGAAUUAUUGGGCGUAAAGAGCUCGUAGGUGGUCUGUCACGUCUGCUGUGGAAACGCAAGGCUCAACCUUGCGCGUGCAGUGGGUACGGGCGGACUAGAGUGCAGUAGGGGAGUCUGGAAUUCCUGGUGUAGCGGUGAAAUGCGCAGAUAUCAGGAGGAACACCGGUGGCGAAGGCGGGACCCUGGGCUGUAACUGACGCUGAGGAGCGAAAGCAUGGGGAGCGAACA